rnacentral:rRNA from 1 species
AUACGUAGGGGGCGAGCGUUGUCCGGAAUGAUUGGGCGUAAAGGGCGCGUAGGCGGCGCGGUAAGUCUGGAGUGAAAGUCCUGCUUUCAAGGUGGGAAUUGCUUUGGAUACUGCCGCGCUUGAGUGCAGGAGAGGUUAUCGGAAUUCCCGGUGUAGCGGUGAAAUGCGUAGAGAUCGGGAGGAACACCAGUGGCGAAGGCGGGUAACUGGACUGCAACUGACGCUGAGGCGCGAAAGUUUGGGGAGCGAACAGGAUUAGAUACCCUUGUAGUCCACACUGUAAACGAUGAAUGCUAGGUGUAAGAGGUAUCGACCCCUUUUGUGCCGGAGUCAACACAAUAAGCAUUCCGCCUGGGGAGUACGGCCGCAAGGUUGAAACUCAAAUGAAUUGACGGGG